rnacentral:lncRNA from 1 species
UGAAAGUCCAUUGUUUAUUAUCCCACGGGGGAAAAGGCCCAGCUUAGAUCUGGGCUCCUUUUGACCAAAGGAUCACCUUCUACUAUCUCCCAUGCUAGCUUCUGCCCUGAAGGAUUUGAGUGCUGUGGCAAUAGCUGCUGCGUGAAGACAGAACAUUUCUCUGGCCCCAUGAGGACAUUUGUCAUCAGCUUCCUGGUCAUCAUCCCUCUUCUCUGUAUCUGUGGCUUGUCCAAGCGUUUGUGCCGAGCUUGCUGGGUCUCAGGGUCGGAGCCCUCAACCCAGCAGGAGGUGCCAAUGUCAGUGUCCUUCAGCAACCCUCCUGUGUCCCCUGAGACUCUAGCACCUGCCCCAUUUGGACCCCCACCACCCUACAGUGAGGUCAUUCAGAAGCCAGUCCUGUGCCCACCAGCUCCCAGGGAGCCACCACCACCCUAUACCCCCACGUCUGUUGUGACAACCCAAAGCACCGAACGGGGAAUCAUCAAUCCAGCCUUCUGAGGCAUGUUGGGAUGCCCUACAAGCUUGAGACUUAACUUAUUUCUCUCCUUGCCUCUGCCUGUUCAAGGGUGUCCUUGCUCCUAGGAGCCCUGGGCAUUACCUGGCCUGGGAAUCCUCUCCUUUUCUUAGAGCUUUAAGGAUGGAGGGAGAGAGAGAGACAAAUUUCAACCCAUGUUAAGAAAGGCAGCUCUCUAACAAUGGAAGAGGACUUCUUUGACACUCAGUAUGUUUACGAAGAGGCUGGAUGAUUGGUCACCUGUCAUACUGUCCUAGAAUGCUGAAAUGAAGAUUGCUGCAGGUGGAAAGAGACCUUGGACUUGAGAGAUAGCCUUCCCCAACGUCAGAUGGAGUGGGCUGAGAUCCUGUCCAGAAUCUCUUGGCUUUUGUGUGCUUGGAGGUUGGGUGGUGGCUUUAAAUAAGUCAAGCAAAGUCAUUCUCUGGCAUGAACAAGAUAUGCCUAGCCUGCUGCCCUACAAUGCCUGAAGUUCCCCCAUUAGAGAGCCAUUCCUUUGGUUAAAGCCUUGCACCCAGCUGUGGGUUUUCUGUGGACAGAGUAACUCUUUAAUGUAAAGUAAAUUGCAU